rnacentral:tRNA from 1 species
GCCGUGGUAGCUCAGCUGGUAGAGCGCCGGACUGAAAAUCCGUAUGUCGUCAGUUCGACUCUGACCCAUGGCA